AUGGGCUGGCAGCCCAGCGGUGAGGAGGACUGGCCUGUGCAGCGCAGCUGCGACCAGGAAAAAGAGCCCAGGAGGAGUGGAAGGAGAUUCUCAAAAAAAAAAGGAGUGGAAGGCGACGGCGUGACGACAGCUGGACGUCGGCGAGGUCGCCCCGUUGGGAUCCGGCGAGAGGAGAUGGAGGCGACGGGACGGCAGCUGGGCGUCGGCGUUCUCGCGGUCGAGAGUAGGGAGAGGAGGCGGGGUGGCCGUCUGCCCGCACGCCGUUGCCGUUGCCGUCGCCGUCGCCGCCGCUGGAGAUAA
rnacentral:rRNA from 1 species